CCUACGGGUGGCAGCAGUGGGGGAUAUUGCACAAUGGGGGGAACCCUGAUGCAGCGACGCCGCGUGGGUGAAGAAGCGCCUCGGCGCGUAAAGCCCUGUCAGCAGGGAAGAAAAUGACGGUACCUGACUAAGAAGCCCCGGCUAACUACGUGCCAGCAGCCGCGGUAAUACGUAGGGGGCAAGCGUUAUCCGGAUUUACUGGGUGUAAAGGGAGCGUAGACGGCAGUGAAAGUCUGAAGUGAAAGGCAAGGGCUCAACCUUUGGACUGCUUUUGAAACUGUGCUGCUGGAGUGUCGGAGAGGCAAGUGGAAUUCGUAGUGUAGCGGUGAAAUGCGUAGAUAUUAGGAGGAACACCAGUUGCGAAGGCAGCUUGCUGGACUAUGACUGACGUUGAGGCUCGAAAGCGUGGGUAGCAAACAGGAUUAGAUACCCUUGUAGUC
rnacentral:rRNA from 1 species